GCUGGGCAUGGUAGCACGUGCCUGUAAUCCCAGAAACUCAGGAGGCUGAGGCAGGAGGAUCACAGUUUGAGGCCAGGCUCACCAAGACCCUGUCUCAA
rnacentral:sRNA from 1 species